rnacentral:rRNA from 1 species
GUGUCAGCAGCCGCGGUAAGACAGAGGAGCCAAGCGUUGUCCGGAUUGACUGGGCGUAAAGGGCACGCAGGCGGCGCCGCGCGUGGGGUGUGAAAGCGGGCGGCUUAACUGCCCCAGGUCAUCCCAUACGGCGGUGCUGGAGCCAUCCAGAGGUCGGUGGAAUUGCCGGUGUAGUGGUGAAAUGCGUAGAGAUCGGCAGGAACACCCAGGGGGAAACCAGCCGACUGGGGAUGCGCUGACGCUGAGGUGCGAGAGCGUGGGGAGCGAACCGGAUUAGAUACCCGCGUAGUCC